rnacentral:rRNA from 1 species
UACGUAGGGUCCGAGCGUUAAUCGGAAUUACUGGGCGUAAAGCGUGCGCAGGCGGUUCGUUAAGUCAGAUGUGAAAGCCCCGGGCUCAACCUGGGAACUGCAUUUGAAACUGGCGGGCUUGAGUGUGGCAGAGGGGGGUGGAAUUCCGCGUGUAGCAGUGAAAUGCGUAGAGAUGCGGAGGAACACCGAUGGCGAAGGCAGCCCCCUGGGCCAACACUGACGCUCAGGCACGAAAGCGUGGGGAGCAAACAGG